ensembl:lncRNA
GAUGUGGGGCAGAGGGCUGCACUAUGGGGCAGAGAGGCCACGAUGUGGGGCAGAGUGCUGCGAUGUGGGGCAGAGGGCCGCGAUGUGGGGCAGAGGGCUGCACUAUGGGGCAGAGCAGUGCGAUGUGGGGCGGAGGCCACAUGGGGAGGUCAGCAGUGGUGUUCUGUGGUUCAGUUGUGGGGCCGAGCCCCAUAGCGCGGCAGCUGUGGGUCAGGAUGUGGGGCAGAGGCCACAUGGGGAGGUCAGUGGUGGUGUUCAGUGGUUCAGUUGUGGGGCAGAGCCCCAUAGCGCAGCGGCUGUGGGUCAGGAUGUGGGGCAGAGCCAGUGGGCUGGUCAGUGGUGGUGGUGUUUGGUUUGGAUGUGGGGCAGAGCCCCAUAGCGCGGCAGCUGUGGGUCAGGAUGUGGGGCAGAGCCACAUGGAGUGGUCAGUGAUGGUGUUCUGUGGUUCAGUUGUGGGGCAGAGCCCCAUAGUGCAGCAGCUGUGGGUCAGGAUGUGGGGCAGAGCCACAUGGAGUGGUCAGUGAUGGUGUUCUGUGGCUCAGUUGUGGGGCAGAGCCCCAUAGCGCGGCAGCUGUGGGUCAGGAUGUGGGGCAGAGCCACAUGGAGUGGUCAGUGAUGGUGUUCUGUGGUUCAAUUGUGGGGCCGAGCCCCAUAGCGCGGCAGCUGUGGGUCAGGAUGUGGGGCAGAGCCACAUGGAGUGGUCAGUGAUGGUGUUCUGUGGUUCAGGUGUGGGGCCGAGCCCCAUAGCGCAGCGGCUGUGGGUCAGGAUGUGGGGCAGAGCUAGUUGGGGGCGGUCAGUGGUGGUGUUGUUUGGUUUGGAUGUGGGGCAGAGCCCCAUAGCGUAGCAGCUGUGGGUCAGGAUGUGGGGCAGACGCCGCAUGGAGCCGUCAGCGGUCGUGUUCUUAGGUUCAGUUGUGGGGCAGAGCCCCAUAGCGCGGUGGUCGUGGGUCAGGAUGUGGGGCAGAGCCAGUGGGGCAGCGUCAGCAGGACAGGUUAUGGGGCAAAGUCCGUGUGGGGCGGUGCGCGCCGGGCAGGAUGUGGGGCACGGCCCCGCAACGUGGCCACGUGUCACUGUGACGCUAUGGGGCAGAGCCCCACAUAGGGGCGGUUAUGGGGCAGAGCCCCACAUUGGGGCGGUUAUGGGGCAGAGCCCAAUACAGCAGUGGGGUCCUGCAGUUAUGGGGCAGAGCCCCACACUGGGGCACUUAUGGGGCAGAGCCCAUAGAGCGGUGGGGUCCCGUGGUCAAGCUAUGGGGCAGAGCCCCACAUGGGGGCACUUAUGGGGCAGAGCCCAAUACAGCAGUGGGGUCCUGCAGUUAUGGGGCAGAGCCCCACAUUGGGGCACUUAUGGGGCAGAGCCCAUAGAGCGGUGGGGUCCCGUGGUCAAGCUAUGGGGCAGAGCCCCACAUGGGGGCAGUUAUGGGGCAGAGCCCAUAGAGCGGUGGGGUCCUGUGGUUUUGCUAUGGGGCAGAGCCCCACAUGGGGGCACUUAUGGGGCAGAGCCCAGCGCCCUUUAGGCCACGCCCCUUUCUGGAGCCGUGCCGCGGUUGUGGCCACGCCCACCCCGGUCUGGCCACGCCCCCCUUUUCACGAGGCCACGCCCACAUCCGCCGAGGCCACGCCCCCUCGGGAGC